rnacentral:rRNA from 2 species
AAAAUUUAAAAUUAAGAUACUAAAAUAGUAAAUAAAUAUUUAUUGAAACUUAAAUAAUUUGGCGGUAUUUUAGUUCAUUUAGAGGAAUCUGUUUAAUAAUUGAUAUUCCACGAAUAAAUUUACUUAAUUUAUAAUUUUGUAUAUCGUUGUUAUAAAAAUAUUUUUUAAAAAAAUUAAUAUUUAAAAAUUAAUAUGUAUAAAUUUAAAUCAGAUCAAGAUGCAGAUUAUAGUUAAGAAUAUAAUGGAUUACAAUAAAUUUAUUUAAAUGAAUUUUAAUUUGAAAAAAAUUAAUUGAAAGUGGAUUUAAAUGUAAUUUUAUUUAAUUUAAUAAAAUGAUUAAAAAUUAAAAUAUGU